rnacentral:rRNA from 1 species
AGGAUGAACGCUGGCGGCGUGCCUAACACAUGCAAGUCGAACGUCCUGUCUCGCAAGAGGCAGGGAGUGGCGGACGGGUGAGUACCACGUGGGUUAUCUACCGUGAGGUGAGGAAUACCGGCGAGAAAUCGCCGACAAGACCGCAUAGCCUCGGUGCAAGCCGAGGAAAGCUUUCUCGAGAGAGGGAGCGCCACACGAGGAGCCUGCGCCCGAUUAGCUAGCUGGUGGAGUAACGGUUCACCAGGGCGACGAUCGGUAGCUGGUCUGAGAGGACGAUCAGCCACACUGGGAUUGAGAACGGCCCAGACUCCUACGGGGGCAGCAGUGAGGAAUUUUCGUCAAUGGGGGCAACCCUGAACGAGCAACGCCGCGUGCAGGAAGAAGGUUUUCGGAUCGUAAACUGCUUUUCUCGGGGAAGAGAACGGACGGUACCCGAGGAAUCAGCCCCGGCUAACUACGUGCCAGCAGCCGCGGUAA